AAUAAUUUAAUUUAUACGGAUCGUGCGGGUUACGUAUAAGAUUAAGUUAGUUGACUCGAGAUUAACAUAUUUAUCUAAAAGCAAGCACACAUGCAUAUGUGAACUUUUGAAUAUUUGGUAAACAAGAAGAGUAGGCAGUACACAGAUAUCCUUAUCCAUUUGCUGGCCAGUCCAAGACGAUACUAGAAACUGCAAGAAGCCUAAGCUCUUGAUCGAGCUCACCUUCUCUCCUUUUUAACCUCUAUAAAUGCAUUCCCAUACCUAACUACAAUUCCUACAAUUUCAGAAGCUAAAUUGAAAAACAGAGAGAAGCGUAGAGAAAAAUGCCGGGUUGGGGACCGCCGCCGGGAGGACCUCCCGGUCAUCCAGGGCCGUGUUGUUGCUGUGAUUUUCUCUGUGGUGGUAUAUGCCGGCUUGUAUCUUCAUGUUUGUAUUUCCUUUGCUGCUGCUGCAUCAUAGAGAGCUGCUGCGGACCAGUGUUUGGUGGGCCGCCAGGUGGCCCUGGCGGCCCACAUGGUGGGCCUCCCUUCUAACCAGACCAUUUCCAGCAGAUUUGUUGUUUAUCCAGACCCAAAUAAAUAAAGCAGCAAAAAUAUGAUGUGUUUAUUUUAUUUUUCUAAUUAAAAUAUAAUGUGUUUAUUUGUUAAUGUGGAUAUGUAAUAUUUUGUUUUUGGGUAGAGCAAGGACUUGAAGUCAAUUAUGUUUGACGCUUUUUAUAUAUUUUUGGGCAGACUCCAUUUAUUUUUCAAUAA